GAAACCUUCAUGAAGAGAUGUUUAUAUGAUUUACACAGGAGAAAAUGAAUGUUAAGUCUAUGUAAAUCAAUAAAUUUGUUUGUCACUGAUGGUGACUUAGAGCCAAGUUGUAAGCCUUGAAUAUUUUGCAGGUUCUCUUCCUAUAACAUUCAUAUUUCUUCAUCCUACACUUGAACCCACAGAAAUCCACCUGCCUCUGCCUCCCGGGUGCUGGAAUUAAUGGUGUGUGCCAUGCUCAUAUGUCCACAGUUUACAUUUCUUAUUUUAUAUAUCAUUGUGAGAAAGGAACUUGCUCUGUUGGCUAUGCUGUCCUUAACAUCACUCUGUAGCCUAGGCAGGCCUUGAUCCUCUUCUCUCACUCAGCAUCCUGUAUUUCUGUGAUUCUAGGCCUUUGCCUCCAGGACUAGAUGGUGUUUUCUUAUGGAUUAUCUGAAGGAGGAUAUUAUCCCUGAGAGAUUAUUGGCUGGAGAUUGUUCUUAACCAUGUAAAUGGAUAUCUGAUAUGUAUCCCCAGUGAAAGGGUUGGUCCAGCACUAAGGGGGUCACCACUACAGCUAUAAAGGCUGCUGAUGCUCACAC
rnacentral:lncRNA from 1 species